rnacentral:rRNA from 1 species
GAUGAACGCUGGCGGCGUGCCUAAUACAUGCAAGUCGAGCGAACAGACGAGGAGCUUGCUCCUUUGACGUUAGCGGCGGACGGGUGAGUAACACGUAGGUAACCUACCUAUAAGACUGGGAUAACUUCGGGAAACCGGAGCUAAUACCGGAUAAUAUUUUGAACCGCAUGGUUCGAUAGUGAAAGACGGCUUUGCUAUCACUUAUAGAUGGACCUGCGCCGCAUUAGCUAGUUGGUAAGGUAACGGCUUACCAAGGCAACGAUACGUAGCCGACCUGAGAGGGUGAUCGGCCACACUGGAACUGAGACACGGUCCAGACUCCUACGGGAGGCAGCAGUAGGGAAUCUUCCGCAAUGGGCGAAAGCCUGACGGAGCAACGCCGCGUGAGUGAUGAAGGUCUUCGGAUCGUAAAACUCUGUUAUUAGGGAAGAACAAACGUGUAAGUAACUGUGCACGUCUUGACGGUACCUAAUCAGAAAGCCACGGCUAACUACGUG